AGAGCUGAUUGGCGCUUCCGCGCUCAGGCGGUGUUACAACAGCUGUUGCUACUGGCUUCGCUCGGGCUCCGCCGGGAGCCAAUCGGGAGGCGCCGAACCGCGCCUCGGCUCGCACCGCGCCACUGAGGAGAGGAGGAGCGGCAGCCAAUCAGCGCCGGUAGAAGGGCGAGGGCGAUCACCCCAACUGGUGCCGAUUGGCUGAGCCCACGGGCAGCCUGGCCAAUAGCGGCAGGGACGUGGUUAUAAAAGGCUCGGCGGGGGCGGAGUGGGGCCUUUCCGGCGGGCAGGGCCGGCGGGACCCGCACCGCACCGGCGGCACGGGAAGGGAGGCACGAGGGCCUGGCGGGCGCCGUGGAGCUCCGGCCGGUGAGGUGCACACGUGUGUGGUGGGCUGCUGCUCCUGAGCCCGCUCGGGAAGCUGUGCGGGACCACGAGGUGCUUUGGGGCAAGUGGAAUCGGGGCUGGAGUAACGGGACCUGGUGGGCCGCGUGUAGCUGUGACUCCAGGCGUAACGUAGGCAUCAGGCUGUGAAUACAGCAAGGGAUGCACCCGAAUACAGCUAAAAAACGCGUUUGGGGUUGCUGUAUCAAACAGUGAAACCGAUGUUUUUCAUGCUGUACAAUUAAAGAGUCUGUGUAGUUUUUAAAGAACGCAGCAUCAGCUGCAGGAUGCUGUGAAAUAAAAUAAAAACUUUUUUUCUCUGCCACGUGGUAGCCUACAGCAAAGGUAAUGGCAGGCAGUGGAUGCAGUAGUACAGGUAAACAAAACGAUUCACAGCCAGCAGUCCUCACAGUGAUUGUGUAGGAGACUGACUUAAAUCUUAAUUCUAAUAUUUUUUUUUAAUAUAACAAGUUGUUCAUGUCUUUGUUCUUUCCUUGUUCUCAAAUCAAGUUCAAUGUUGUAAAUUUUAAACUGCUUGCUGCUGUAUCUCCGCUUUGUGUUCUCUAUUGGGCUGGUUCUACAGCUUACAGAUAAUUCAAUAAAGUUUUCAAAAGACU